GAUGAACGCCAGCGGCAGGCCUAAUACUUGCAAGUCGAACGGUGUCUUCGGACAUAGUGGCGCACGGGUGCGUAACACGUAUGCAACCUACCUUACAUUGGGGGAUAGCCUUUCGAAAGGGAGAUUAAUACCGCAUAAGACAGUAGCUGGGCAUCCAGCAGCUGUUAAGAUUUAUCGAUGUAAGCUGGGCAUGCGUCCAAUUAGCUAGUUGGUGAGGUAACGGCUCACCAAGGCAAUGAUUGGUAGGGGAACUGAGAGGUCAAUCCCCCACACGGGAACUGAGAUACGGGCCAGACUCCUCCGGAGGGCAGCAGUAGGGAAUAUUGGGCAAUGGACGCAAGUCUGACCCAGCCAUGCCGCGUGCAGGAUGAAGGCGUUAUGCGUUGUAAACUGCUUUUAUACAGAAAGAAACGACUCUUGCGAGAGGCAUUGACGGUACUGUAUGAAUAAGCACCGGCUAACUCCGUGCCAGCCGCCGCCGUAAGAC
rnacentral:rRNA from 1 species